UUCGCAAUGCCCGAAAGGGUGACGAAGCGACGCCGCGUGCGGGAAGAAGGCCUUCGGGUUGUAAACCGCUGUCGGGAGUUAGGAAAUGCAAGGAUGUUAAUAGCAUUCUUGCUUGACUAAGGCUCCGGAGGAAGCCACGGCUAACUCUGUGCCAGCAGCCGCGGUAAUACAGAGGCGGCAAGCGUUGUUCGGAAUUAUUGGGCGUAAAGAGCACGUAGGCGGCUGUGUAAGUCGGUUGUGAAAGCCUUCCGCUUAACGGAAGAACGGCAUCCGAUACUGCAUAGCUUGAGUGCGGGAGGGGAGAGUGGAACUUCUGGUGGAGCGGUGAAAUGCGUAGAUAUCAGAAGGAACGCCGGCGGCGAAGGCGACUCUCUGGUCCGUAACUGGCGCUGAGUGUGCGAAAGCUAGGGGAGCAAACGGGAUUAGAUACCCCGGUAGUCCUAGCCGUAAACGAUGGGCACUAAGUAGAGGGGUUUUA
rnacentral:rRNA from 1 species